rnacentral:rRNA from 1 species
AGAGUUUGAUCCUGGCUCAGGACGAACGCUGGCGGCGCGCCUAACACAUGCAAGUCGAACGAGAGAGAGGAAGCUUGCUUCCUCAAUCGAGUGGCGAACGGGUGAGUAACGCGUGAGGAACCUGCCUCAAAGAGGGGGACAACAGUUGGAAACGACUGCUAAUACCGCAUAAGCCCACAGGUCGGCAUCGACCAGAGGGAAAAGGAGCAAUCCGCUUUGAGAUGGCCUCGCGUCCGAUUAGCUAGUUGGUGAGGUAACGGCCCACCAAGGCGACGAUCGGUAGCCAGACUGAGAGGUUGAACGGCCACAUUGGGACUGAGACACGGCCCAGACUCCUACGGGAGGCAGCAGUGGGGAAUAUUGCACAAUGGGGGAAACCCUGAUGCAGCGACGCCGCGUGGAGGAAGAAGGUCUUCGGAUUGUAAACUCCUGUUGUUGAGGAAGAUAAUGACGGUACUCAACAAGGAAGUGACGGCUAACUACGUGCCAGCAGCCGCGGU